GCGCAAAUAAAGCUUACAUGUGCUGGAUCCCACUUAAAGUCAGAGAAAAGGGGAGAAGUCGAGUUCACCAUUCAGGCCUGGGUAUUGUGUAGCUUUCAGAGUAUAUAUCCAAAAGGAUUCUCUCUGCAGGAACCUUUUUAACCUGUC